UACGUAGGGGCCUAGCGUUGUCCGGAUUUAUUGGGCGUAAAGAGCUCGUAGGCGGUUUGGUAAGUUGGAUGUGAAAUCUCCAGGCUCAACUUGGAGGGGUCAUUCGAUACUGCCAUGACUAGAGUUCGGUAGGGGAGUGUGGAAUUCCUGGUGGAGCGGUGAAAUGCGCAGAUAUCAGGAGGAACACCCGUAGCGAAGGCGGCACUCUGGGCCGGAACUGACGCUGAGGAGCGAAAGCGUGGGGAGCGAACAGG
rnacentral:rRNA from 1 species